UCCGGUUGAUCCCGCCGGACCCGACUGCUAUUUGGGUGAGGAUAAGCCAUGCGAGUUGUAUGGGAUACCUAAAUUUCCCAUGGCAAACUGCUUAGUAACACAUGAUCAACUUACCCUAUGGAGAAAAAUAACCUCGGGAAACUGAGGAUAAUGUUUCAUAGGUGAAUAGGCUUGGAAAAGUUUUUCAUCGAAAAGGAUAAGAAAAAUGGUUUUUAUCUGCCAUAGGAUAGGAUCGUGGUCGAUUAUGGUUGUUGGUGAGGUAACGGCUCACCAAGCCGACAAUCGAUAGGGGCCGUGAGAGCGGGAGCCCCAAGAUGGGUACUGAGACAGCGACCCAGGCCUUACGAGGCGCAGCAGGCGCGGAACCUCCGCAAUACACGAAAGUGUGACGGGGUUACCCAAAGUGUUCUUUUAAGAACUGUGGUAGGUGAGUAAUAUCCCCCACUAGAAAGGAGAGGGCAAGGCUGGUGCCAGCCGCCGCGGUAAAACCAGCUCUUCAAGUGGUCGGGAUAAUUAUUGGGCUUAAAGUGUCCGUAGCCGGUUUAGUAAGUUCCUGGUAAAAUCGGGUAGCUUAACUAUCCGCAUGCUAGGAAUACUGCUAUAAUAGAGGGCGGGAGAGGUCUGAGGUACUACAGGGGUAGGGGUGAAAUCUUAUAAUCCUUGUAGGACCACCAGUGGCGAAGGCGUCAGACUGGAACGCGYCUGACGGUGAGGGACGAAAGCCAGGGGAGCGAACCGGGAUUAGAUACCCCGGGUAGUCCUGGCCGUWAACGAUGCAUACUA
rnacentral:rRNA from 1 species